UCGGAAUUUUGUAAAAUCGAGUUCACCAUUUGAAGACAAAACAAAAGUCCUCUCCCGAGCUGAAGUGUUGCUAAAUUUAGUCCAUUCAGCUUGGAGUAGAAAAUGUUAUCCGGUUCCAAGGAAAUAGGUGUGAAAUUAUUAAAUUUAAACGUGAUGCUAACCUAAAAUAGGAUCAAGCAUGUCUGCGAAUUGCAAUAAGAAUUGAAAUUUUUAAUUAAAAUGAAAGAUCAAAACUCACUCCCGAGAUAUUGUGGUUUUAAAUGUGGUUACAAAAGUUAGCCAGUUUGAGUAAAUAUUUCAAAAAUUUCACAGUUUUUGAAAAUAUGCUAUCAGUGACAAUUAAAAAUGACAAAAAUUAUUCUGUUCCGAGAAAAUCGAAAUUGAAGGACCGAAUUUUUUGCUGAAAGACUGAUAUAAAAAAUUAAACAAGAAAUUUCAUGGUGAUAGAAAGAAAAUAUUUUGUAGAAAAUGAGUAGGAACAAGCAAUUUUAAUGUCGGCCUCCACUCAAUUUAAACAAAAAUUCAAGGAAUUCUAUGAAGUCUGGAAAUACUAGGAGAUUAAAAUAAUGCAAUGUAUUCACAGUUAUACCGGGAAGUUAGAAGAAUUCGAAGAAUUUAGAGGGUUUAAGGAAUUAGAGAGUUCAGGGAAUUCUAAGAGUUUAUUCAGAAGCCAGCUAAUUGAAGGAAU